rnacentral:rRNA from 1 species
UGACCUCGAAUCAGUAGAUGCCG